rnacentral:rRNA from 1 species
CCUACGGGUGGCAGCAGUGGGGAAUAUUGCACAAUGGGCGCAAGCCUGAUGCAGCCAUGCCGCGUGUGUGAAGAAGGCCUUCGGGUUGUGAAGCACUUUCAGCGGGGAGGAAGGCGUUAAGGUUAAUAACCUUGGCGAUUGACGUUACCCGCAGAAGAAGCACCGGCUAACUCCGUGCCAGCAGCCGCGGUAAUACGGAGGGUGCAAGCGUUAAUCGGAAUUACUGGGCGUAAAGCGCACGCAGGCGGUCUGUCAAGUCGGAUGUGAAAUCCCCGGGCUCAACCUGGGAACUGCAUUCGAAACUGGCAGGCUAGAGUCUUGUAGCGGGGGGUAGAAUUCCAGGUGUAGCGGUGAAAUGCGUAGAGAUCUGGAGGAAUACCGGUGGCGAAGGCGGCCCCCUGGACAAAGACUGACGCUCAGGUGCGUAAGCGUGGGGAGCAAACAGGAUUAGAUACCCGAGUAGUC